rnacentral:rRNA from 1 species
UAUUGGACAAUGGGGGAAACCCUGAUCCAGCCAUGCCGCGUGUGUGAAGAAGGCCCUAGGGUUGUAAAGCACUUUAAUUAGGGAGGAAGGCCAUUUAGCUAAUACCUAAGUGGAUUGACGUUACCUAAAGAAUAAGCACCGGCUAACUCCGUGCCAGCAGCCGCGGUAAUACGGAGGGUGCGAGCGUUAAUCGGAAUUACUGGGCGUAAAGCGUGCGCAGGCGGUUUGUUAAGCCAGAUGUGAAAGCCCCGGGCUCAACCUGGGAACUGCGUUUGGUACUGGCAAGCUAGAGUACGGCAGAGGGGGGUGGAAUUCCACGUGUAGCAGUGAAAUGCGUAGAGAUGUGGAGGAACACCGAUGGCGAAGGCAGCCCCCUGGGCCGAUACUGACGCUCAGGCACGAAAGCGUGGGGAGC